AGUGAACGCUGGCGGUAGGCCUAACACAUGCAAGUCGAACGGCAGCACAGUAAGAGCUUGCUCUUACGGGUGGCGAGUGGCGGACGGGUGAGGAAUACAUCGGAAUCUACUUUUUCGUGGGGGAUAACGUAGGGAAACUUACGCUAAUACCGCAUACGACCUACGGGUGAAAGCAGGGGAUCUUCGGACCUUGCGCGAUUGAAUGAGCCGAUGUCGGAUUAGCUAGUUGGCGGGGUAAAGGCCCACCAAGGCGACGAUCCGUAGCUGGUCUGAGAGGAUGAUCAGCCACACUGGAACUGAGAGACGGUCCAGACUCCUACGGGAGGCAGCAGUGGGGAAUAUAGGACAAUGGGCGCAAGCGUGAGCCAGCCAUACCGCGUGGGUGAAGAAGGCCUUCGGGUUGUAAAGCCCUUUUGUUGGGAAAGAAAAGCAGCAGGUUAAUACCCCGCUGUUCUGACGGUACCCAAAGAAUAAGCACCGGCUAACUUCGU
rnacentral:rRNA from 1 species